GACGAACGCUGGCGGCGUGCCUAACACAUGCAAGUCGAGCGAGAACCUCAGGAGGGGUAACCCUCUUGAGGGGAGAGCGGCGAACGGGUGAGUAACACGUGGGCAACCUGCCCCGGACACCGGGAUAACCCAGGGAAACCUGAGCUAAUACCGGAUACUCCGGCGUGAUCGCAUGGUCGCGCCGGGAAAGCUCCGACGGUCCGGGAUGGGCCCGCGGCCUAUCAGAUUGUUGGUGGGGUAACGGCCCACCAAGGCGACGACGGGUAGCUGGUCUGAGAGGCCGGCCAGCCACACUGGGACUGGGACACGGCCCAGACUCCUACGGGAGGCAGCAGUGGGGGAUCUGGCGCUAAUGCGCGAAAGCGUGACGCAGCGACGCCGCGUGGGGGAUGAAGGCCCUCGGGUUGUAAACCCCUUUCGGCAGGGACGAAGCGAAAGUGACGGUACCUGCAUAAGAAGUCCCGGCUAACUACGUGCCAGCAGCCGCCGUAACAC
rnacentral:rRNA from 1 species